CUGUGGGGGCGGGGGCUGUUCUUAGGGCACCGGUGGAUCCAUCCUCAUCUCCGUCUCCACCUCCCCUCCUCCUUCGUUGCCUCCCGGGCUUCCUCCUCUCCUGUUGUCAGUUGGGAUCAGCUGAUCGGAGUGAACUUCUCCCAGCUCAGACUAACAGGAAGGCGUGAGCGGUGCAGCCCAGGGAGGGAGGAGCGGGAGGGGUGGAGUUUAACGCCGGCGUGGGCGGGGAAAGGGUGCGCACUGCCUCCUGGGACAUGUAGUUCUCACCUGCACGUCCUGGCCUCACAUCCCGGAAGUGAAGACACUGAAUGACUACAACUCCCAGUUCCAAAGAGGAUACUCUUCCCAGGAGGCGGUGGAGACCCGCCACCGAGCAUUUCGGGACUUGGAGUUUUCGCUAAGACUGGUUUCAGCCUGUUGUUUUGGAAUAACACAGAGAGAGCCUGAUAUUAAGGAAAAGAGCAAUGCUCUGUGAGAUUGAAGACUGGAUACUUGGUCUAGAAAAGUGCUUGAUUAUCGUAGGUGGCUGAGGGGCCACCAUGUGGCGAGG